AGUAUAUGCAUGCUGUGUACGAUUAUUGAACAUAAAAACCAUGACAUUGUACCAGCUGCAGACCAGAGGACAGAGAAACAGAAGCAGCUGAAGCAGACUCAAAACUCCAGCAGAGAAUCCAGCAGAGAGAGAAAGAUCUUCAGCAGCUGAGAGAGGCUGUGGAGUCUCAUAAGCGCUCUGCACAG